GUAGGUGGCAAGCGUUGUCCGGAAUUAUUGGGCGUAAAGCGCGCGCAGGCGGUUCUUUAAGUCUGAUGUGAAAGGCCACGGCUCAACCGUGGAGGGUCAUUGGAAACUGGAGAACUUGAGUACAGAAGAGGAAAGCGGAAUUCCACGUGUAGCGGUGAAAUGCGUAGAGAUGUGGAGGAACACCAGUGGCGAAGGCGGCUUUCUGGUCUGUAACUGACGCUGAGGCGCGAAAGCGUGGGGAGCAAACAGGAUUAGAUACCCUGGUAGUCCACGCCGUAAACGAUGAGUGCUAAGUGUUAGGGGGGUUUUCCGCCCCCCUUAGUGCUGCAGCUAACGCAUUAAGCACUCCGCCUGGGAGUACGGCCGCAAGGCUG
rnacentral:rRNA from 1 species